UUAAUUAUUUGUUUUAUUCUCAGAGUUUUAAAAAUUCAAGAGUUUUAGGUAUCUUUGGUAGGCGCUGUAAAACAGCAAUCAAUCCCGCCCUGGGAUUGCCUACCAAAGGAAACCGUUAAAAAAUAGAUAAACAUUGGGUUUAAUGGGAGUUUUUACACUCUGUAAUGAUCCCUCCGCUGGUUCACCAACGGAGA
rnacentral:misc_RNA from 1 species